rnacentral:rRNA from 1 species
UACAGAGGGUGCAAGCGUUGUUCGGAAUUAUUGGGCGUAAAGCGCGUGUAGGCGGCUUUGCAAGUCGGGUGUGAAAUCCCUCGGCUCAACCGAGGAAGUGCGCCCGAAACUGCAGAGCUUGAGUGCCGGAGAGGAUGGCGGAAUUCCCCAAGUAGAGGUGAAAUUCGUAGAUAUGGGGAGGAACACCGGUGGCGAAGGCGGCCAUCUGGACGGUAACUGGACGCUGAGACGCGGAAAGCGUGGGUAGCAAACAGG